AACGAACGCUGGCGGCAGGCUUAACACAUGCAAGUCGAACGGGCGUAGCAAUACGUCAGUGGCAGACGGGUGAGCAACACGUGGGAACCUUCCUAGGGGUACGGAACAACUCAGGGAAACUUGAGCUAAUACCGUAUACGUCCGUGAGGAGAAAGAUUUAUCGCCCUUAGACGGGCCCGCGUCGGAUUAGCUAGUUGGUGGGGUAACGGCCUACCAAGGCGACGAUCCGUAGCUGAUCUGAGAGGAUGAUCAGCCACACUGGGACUGAGACACGGCCCAGACUCCUACGGGAGGCAGCAGUGGGGAAUCUUGGACAAUGGGGCGCAAGCCUGAUCCAGCCAUGCCGCGUGAGUGAAGAAGGCCUUCGGGUUGUAAAGGCUCGUUUUGUUCAGGGACGAUAAUGACGGUACCUGAAGAAUAAG
rnacentral:rRNA from 1 species